CAUCGCCAACCGAAGUGAUCGAGUGCCUGCCUAGCUAGUGUUGCAUCGGGUGGGGCAUGGACAAGUACACGAUUCGCAUCCUUGCAAUAGCAGCCCUAGUCUGUCUACAUCUCGUAUGCUCUGCCACCGUUGCUCAAUGCCGAAUCAUGGCUGACAUGGAUAGCAAGAAGAUCGUUUUACCGCACGGGCUAUGUGUUGAUGUAGGUCCUAACGAUUGUGGGGAUGGUGGUUGCUUCCAUUGUUUGGUAAAUAGUGUCUUCUACCGCACCAUGGAUGAGUGCAAGAGAAAGUGUAACACAUCCUCAUCUUUGCAAGGCAUACUAGUGGCCAUGACUACGUCCUCUCCUCCUUUACCCGCUCCUUAAAUUUCCAGCCUAGCUAGUCAAAUUGGCUUAUAUGUUCGAGAUGGUCCCAAGAAAUAAUGUCUGAUGUGUGAAAAUACAGUUCUGCGAUAAGAGUAAUAUAUAUUCUGGCAGUUGGUGCUGAGUA